AAUAGAUACCCAGGUAGUCCACGCCGUAAACGAUGGAUGCUAGCUAUUGGGGGGGAAUCGACCCCCUCCGAAGCGAAGCUAACGCGUUAAGCAUCCCGCCUGAGUAGUACGAGCGCAAGCUUAAAACUCAAAGGAAUUGACGGGGGCCCGCACAAGCAGCGGAGCAUGUGGUUUAAUUCGAAGCAACGCGAAGAACCUUACCUAGACUUGACAUCUCCUGCAUUACUCUUAAUCGAGGAAGUUCUCCCUUCGGGGAGGACAGGAAGACAGGUGGUGCAUGGUUGUCGUCAGCUCGUGUCGUGAGAUGUUGGGUUAAGUCCCGCAACGAGCGCAACCCUUAUUGUUAGUUGCUACCAUUUAGUUGAGCACUCUAGCAAGACUGCCGUGGUUAACGCGGAGGAAGGUGGGGAUGACGUCAAAUCAUCAUGCCCCUUAUGUCUAGGGCUACACACGUGCUACAAUGGCGAGUACAAAGAGACGCAAAGCCGCGAGGUGGAGCAAAAACUUAUAAAACCCCGGUCUCAGUUCGGAUUGC
rnacentral:rRNA from 1 species